AGUGAACGCUGGCGGCGUGCCUAAUACAUGCAAGUCGAACGGAGUGGCGCACGGGUGAGUAAUAUAUCGCUAACAUGCCCCUUGCUGGAGGACAACAGUUAGAAAUGACUGCUAAUACCCCAUAGCAAGGGAUGUGACGAUAUCGUAUCAGCUAGUCGGUGGGGUAACGGCCUACCGAGGCUAUGACGCGUAAAUGGUCUGAGAGGAUGAGCAGUCACAUUGGAACGGAGACACGGGCCAGACUCCUUGUGGAGGAAGCAGGAGGGAAUAUUGCGCAAUGGGGGAAACCCAGACGCAGCAACGCCGCGUGGAGGAUGACACGUUUCGGAGAGUAAACUCCUUGUGUUAGGGAAGCGGUACCUAACGAAUAAGCACCGGCUAACUCCGUGCCAGCAGCCGCGGUAAUAC
rnacentral:rRNA from 1 species